AAACAAGGAUUCCAUUGGGACAUAGAUUAGGGAUCCCUCUCUUUUUACAGUUCUCACAGGGCCAAACGCGAUCACACUAUUUACAAGAAAUUACUGUUAGAAGGCAAAAUCAAAAAAAAUAGUCAACAAGCAUCAAUUCUGAUGUUUCGUUGUGCCAAUCAAUUACCUUUAGUUUUAAUCGAUGGCAUUCUCUACAAGAAGUGAUCUUUCGAUGCCUUUUCGUUCCUUUUGUCCCCGGUUUUUUGCCAGACGCGGACAUUUAAGCUGACGGGGUCGAUGGAGAAAGUUUGCUGGAAGUGAGAGGUACCCCAGUGAAGCAGAAAACCAACCAGUCAUCGAGGCAUAGGAAAUGCACGGUCAAACAUCUACAUCUUAUACACAUCUUUAAAAUAUACUAGAAAGAUCAUUUUCAUUAUAGUUCAUCUGUGCUAGUGAAGCAAAAACCAACACUUUGUUUUAACAUGCAACAGCGAUGCUUCUGACACAUUGCGACAAAAGCAUCUGAGAUUCGGUCAUUAACUUUUCAUUGAAAUCCUAAAAAACGGAUUUCUUGUGUUUAGGCGACUCGUUCGACAUACUCGACAUGAAAAUAUGAGAUUCAAAUGUUCAUUUCGACAUAUCGGUAUUGUGAGAUAUUGCUACCCAGCAGACAAGAAUCUCAAUUGCGAACCGAAUUGCUGGAGUUAAUGUAUAAAGUUCAUU